rnacentral:lncRNA from 13 species
CUUUUUUCUAGUCUCUUUUUGGUCCAUUUAGAUUAUUAAUGUAGAUUACAUAAAAUAUAAAAAAAUUGUUAUGGUUAAAAAUGUUCAUGUUUUACUGUGACUUGUUGUAGGCUCCUAAGUGGGCCAUAAGGUUAAAAACCAAACCAAAUUAAGAAAAAAAUAAUUAUAUAUAUAUAUAUAAAAUAAAAAACUAAGUAACUCCGCCAGUGUCUCUCUUUUGGGUCACUUUUGCCAUUCCCAAACCCGGAUUAAGGAGGAGGGUUGGAAUUGUGACAUAAUUUUUUUUUUUUAAAUUGACAGAAGAAAGUUCAUUUGUAGUUAAACAUAUUUAGGGUGUUUUUUACUCACUUUUUGUCUCUCCCACACGUUAUUCCUAUCUCCUACAGCAUCCAUCCCAAUUACAUGCACAUGGCCAAUUAUCCAAAUUAGGUGAUGAUGUCAUUUAGCGACUUUUAGGACAGCCAAUAGCUACUUUCCUUACUGAGGAGUUGGCAACACUGUGCUCCACCCCUCGAUGUCUGGAGCUCAAAGACUAAUAGUACGGUAUGCGAUUCCCAACGUUCACAAAGAGCCUUUUGUUCGCCAACGACACAACUUUCAGUUGACUGAAAAUGGACUCGCUCUCGCCGAUACAAAUACAAGACAAACUGGAUUUUGUGGCACCAAUGCAGUAAUGGCUGUCUCUGGUCUACUUAGUCCCCCCCCCUUCAAGACUGUUGGAAAAGGAUUCCAAGUGAAGCUGGUUGAGAGAAUACCAAGAGUGUGCAAAGCUGUCAUCAAGGCAGACAGAGGGUGGCUACUUUGAAGAAUCUAAAAUAUAUGUUGAUUUGUUUAACACUUUUGGUUACUACAUGAUUCCAAAUGUGUUAUUUCAUAGUUUUGAUGUCUUCACUAUUAUUCCACAAUGUAGAAAAUAGUACAAAUUAGUAGGUGUGUCCAAACCUUUGACUGGUACUGGAUAUACAGUUAUAUACAGUUCUACUCAAUUAUUAAACUGUUUAGGCUAACAGUGAUCAUAAUCUAAACAAUUUUAAGGAGUUGUUUUACAUUUUUUACUGUGAAUGAAUAAAAAACCUUGCCUGUCACAAAGAAAAACAGGAAGUGAGAUUGAAUGUAUAAUUCAUGAUGGAAAAAUUUUGAAAACAAAUAGCUUUUUAUGUUUAGUUUAUUGAUAAUUGAAAAUAGUUUUUAGAUUCUAGUUCAACAUUUUUUUAAAAUUACAAUUUCAGCUUACUUCUUCAAUUCACUGACUUCAGUUUUUAUUGACACUGAUGUUUAAAGACUGCUCCUUCCCUCCAGACUCCCUGCAGCUCUCUCUCACUGUCUCUGAAAAAGAGGUUCCUGCUGAGCAGCAGCAAUGUGAGCAGAAGUGGAGCCCCUGUCUGGGGAAGGAGGACCCAGAGCCCACAGAGAUUAAAGCGGAAGAGGAGGAAGUCAAGGCCAGUCAGGAGGAAGAGCAGCUUCAAGGACUCUUUGAUAUGAAAUACUCCAUAUUCACUACUCCCUGUGUGAAAAGUGAAUGUGAUCAGGAGGUACUGUGACCUGUCUGAAGAGUCUAGACACUUCCUGUGACUAUCCAGAUAAACAAAACCAUGCCUCCAGCUGUAAGCAGCGACCCAAUAGGACUUGACAGCAGCCCACCAUUGGGGAACACCACUCCAAAACCAGCACCACGUCUAGAACAACGUACGGCUGCCCCGACUGUGGCGAAACGUUUGCUCUGAAAACUGACCUGCAGGGGCAUGUGAGUCUCGCCAAGAAGGGAUCCAGCGUCUGCAAAAAAAAGCAACAACUC